ACCAGCGCUGCCCGGCCUCCCGGGGCGUCUCUGCGCCUCCGCCCGUCUUCCAGCCAGUGUGGUAUGGGCCGGGCUUCCAGCCCCCAACCUCUGACCGAAGGCUCGAGUCCACCCUGACGGGUUCACGCGGCCCCACGCGGCUUGGAUCGCCGCCUGACUCAGCCAGACCCAGAACCCCGGGCUUGAUGUGCUCGGCUGUGUCUAGCCUAUGAAAACACUAUCCCAGAACUCAGUCCGGCCCAUUUUCUGUUGGGAUAGGCCCAGAAAAUCCACUGCAGUCAGGUUUUGUUCUGAAGCCAUUAUAGUGUCACUAUUGUUACGAUCAUUCCAGGUACUACAGAUCUUUGAAUUAAGCAUGGUCACUGCUGGGUCCUGUCAGGUGUAUUUGGGACGGGUAUUCCGUGGAGAUGCCUGAGCUUCCUCAUCAGGAUUACUCAAGGAGCUCAGGGUUAACAACUUUCCCCACUAGAGUGAAGAUCAAGCUCUGAAGGGCCACCUGAGAGUGACCACUGAAGACAUUGCCCUAUGAGGAGUAGGUCCUACUCUUUCUAAUUUGAGGAUAAUUCUUGGUGAUGGAAAAUGGAAGCAAAGUGGGAGCUGAUGAAUUCUGCUUUUUUCUCUGUCAUCUGUUGUCACUACACCUUCUGUUCCCUGUUCUUCUUGCUCAGAACAUCAACUUUCCUGACAUUACCUUUAUCUAUCAGUGCUAUUAAACACUAUG